rnacentral:lncRNA from 1 species
GCAAAUGCUCAAGCAAAAUGCAGUGCAGCAAAAUUCACUAUUCUGAAAAUCAAAAUGACUUCAGUCUUAUCUUCUGAUAGGCUGAUUCAAACCAAAAUCAAUACUGGGGUACUAAGAAGAACUCUGAAUACUUUGAAUGAACAUCUAUAUAAAUCAUUUUGCCAACCUUUUGGUCAAUAAGGAGUGACAGCGAGGUUAAAGUAACAAGAGGUCUUGAAGUUCAAAUAAACAUUAACAGUCAGCUCUUAGGAAUGUUGGUAACUAUGAAAAACUCCCAUCUGCCUGACAAAUUGGCAGACUCAAAGUGCAUUCUUGUAUCUUAACUUUCCUUGACCCUCUGUGCUUCAUUCUACACAGUUAACUUGACCAUUCUCUUUGAAAUAUUUUUUUUUUUACUCUGUAAUUUAGGGGUUUUCUUAUCCCUCUCACCAUUUUCUCAGUUUUCUUUAAUGAUUCUUCUCAUUGGCCUAUCCUAAAUUUUAGGGGCCAAAAAAGUUAGAUCCUGGGUACUCUCUUUUUAACUAAGCAUACAAAUCUACUCUCAAGGCUUUUAAAACUAUAGGUUGUCCAAUUUAUACCUGAAAUCCUGACAUCCAUUAACUCUACAAUCCUGAAUCUUACAUUCUACUCUUAAGAUGACUGAAGUAACUAAGAUUUACCUUAGUCGAAAUCUAUAACUCAUCUUUUCCUAUCACAGCAGUCUAUCAGACGUCACCACAACUCAAUGGUGAUUACCAUCCAUGAAACUAGCCAACUAAAAACAUGAAUUCAACACGGAUGCCUCUAACCCUCCCCGCUGUCCCCAUUCUAUUCAUUCUCUGCCAUCAUUUGCCCAUUUCUGUUGACCACAGUUUCGUUCAAGUUAUGGGUCUGAAAAAUCUCAUGUUUUUCUCUAAAUACUCCUUUAUUUCCUGUACCACCAACCUCUCAAGGUCUAUAGUAUUUACUCAGAGAUCCCCUCAUGUCAGUAUCACACCUUGUGAGCUUAACAUAUGCCCAAUGUUUGGGGUACUUGCCUUAGGGCUUAUGGUCAUGUGCUUAAUCUUUCUGUGCAUGCCACAUGGUUCAUCUCAUAGCUAUGAAGCACAAGUCCUAAUGAAUUUUCUAUCUAGUUUGAUAUAUCCCUUAAAGGGAUCAACAGCAGUUUAA